GGCUAUAGCUCAGUUGGUGGAGAGCUUGUCUCUCAUGCACGAGGCCCUGGGUUCAAUCCCCAGCACCA
rnacentral:tRNA from 1 species